UACGGGAGGCAGCAGUAGGGAAUUUUCCGCAAUGGGCGAAAGCCUGACGGAGCAACGCCGCGUGAGUGAUGACGGCCUUCGGGUUGUAAAACUCUGUUCUGAAGGAAGAAGUCCUGACGGUACUUCAGGAGAAAGCCCCGGCUAACUACGUGCCAGCAGCCGCGGUAAUA
rnacentral:rRNA from 1 species